UUAUUUGCAUUAUCUGUUGGAACCCUUACACAGAUUUACAUAGAGAUUAUUUGCAUCGCAGCACAAGCUUCAGGAGGAUUUAUAACUCUGUUUUUAUAAGAACUUUAUAACUCUGUGAAUCUGAACCAACAGCAACCAUGAGCUUCAUCACCAUCUUCAUCUGGAUAUUAACUAUCUACUGUUUCACAGAAUCAAGAGGUGAAGUGACAGUCACUCAGACGCCUGCAGUGAAAUCUGUUCGUCCAGGAGACUCAGUUACUGUAUCCUGUAAAACCAGUCCUGAAGUCUAUCAGGGUUGGAGUGUUCAACCUCUAGCCUGGUACUUACAGAAACCUGGAGAAGCUCCUAAACUCCUGAUUUAUUAUGCAAACACCCUCCAGUCAGGAACUCCAUCUAGAUUCAGUGGCAGUGGAUCUAACAGUGAUUUCACUCUGACCAUCAGUGGAGUCCAGACUGAAGAUGCUGGACAUUAUUACUGUCAGAGUUACCACUGGAUCAACAGUAACAAUGUGUUCACACAGUGAUAAAGAGUCGUACAAAAACCUCCGUCAGUCAGAGUCACAGUGACUGAACUGAUACUGCAGCUGCUCACACACUUUCACACACUUUCACACACACUCAACAGUCAAGAUUUUCUUGGAUAUUAACUAAAAUAUAAAGAAUUAACUUCAGUUUUUCACGUUAAGUAUUUUAACACUUUAUCUUAAUAAAUGUAUCUAA